rnacentral:rRNA from 1 species
GACGAACGCUGGCGGCGUGCUUAACACAUGCAAGUCGAACGGAAAGGCCCUGCUUUUGUGGGGUGCUCGAGUGGCGAACGGGUGAGUAACACGUGAGUAACCUGCCCUUGACUUUGGGAUAACUUCAGGAAACUGGGGCUAAUACCGGAUAGGAGCUCCUGCUGCAUGGUGGGGGUUGGAAAGUUUCGGCGGUUGGGGAUGGACUCGCGGCUUAUCAGCUUGUUGGUGGGGUAGUGGCUUACCAAGGCUUUGACGGGUAGCCGGCCUGAGAGGGUCACCGGCCACAUUGGGACUGAGAUACGGCCCAGACUCCUACGGGAGGCAGCAGUGGGGAAUAUUGCAAAAUGGGCGGAAGCCUGAUGCAGCAACGCCGCGUGCGGGAUGACGGCCUUCGGGUUGUAAACCGCUUUCGCCUGUGACGAAGCGUGAGUGACGGUAAUGGGUAAAGAAGCACCGGCUAACUACGUG